rnacentral:rRNA from 1 species
CCAAACUCCUACGGGAGGCAGCAGUAGGGAAUCUUCCACAAUGGACGAAAGUCUGAUGGAGCAACGCCGCGUGAGUGAAGAAGGGUUUCGGCUCGUAAAACUCUGUUGUUAAAGAAGAACAUAUCUGAGAGUAACUGUUCAGGUAUUGACGGUAUUUAACCAGAAAGCCACGGCUAACUACGUGCCAGCAGCCGCGGUAAUACGUAGGUGGCAAGCGUUGUCCGGAUUUAUUGGGCGUAAAGCGAGCGCAGGCGGUUUUUUAAGUCUGAUGUGAAAGCCUUCGGCUCAACCGAAGAAGUGCAUCGGAAACUGGGAAACUUGAGUGCAGAAGAGGACAGUGGAACUCCAUGUGUAGCGGUGAAAUGCGUAGAUAUAUGGAAGAACACCAGUGGCGAAGGCGGCUGUCUGGUCUGUAACUGACGCUGAGGCUCGAAAGUAUGGGUAGCAAACAGGAUUAGAUACCCUGGUAGUCCAUACCGUAAACGAUGAAUGCUAAGUGUUGGAGGGUUUCCGCCCUUCAGUGCUGCAGCUAACGCAUUAAGCAUUCCGCCUGGGGAGUACGGCCGCAAGGCUGAAACUCAAAGGAAUUGACGGGGGCCCGCACAAGCGGUGGAGCAUGUGGUUUAAUUCGAAGCUACGCGAAGAACCUUACCAGGUCUUGACAUACUAUGCAAAUCUAAGAGAUUAGACGUUCCCUUCGGGGACAUGGAUACAGGUGGUGCAUGGUUGUCGUCAGCUCGUGUCGUGAGAUGUUGGGUUAAGUCCCGCAACGAGCGCAACCCUUAUUAUYAGUUGCCAGCAUUAAGUUGGGCACUCUGGUGAGACUGCCGGUGACAAACCGGAGGAAGGUGGGGAUGACGUCAAAUCAUCAUGCCCCUUAUGACCUGGGCUACACACGUGCUACAAUGGAUGGUACAACGAGUUGCGAACUCGCGAGAGUAAGCUAAUCUCUUAAAGCCAUUCUCAGUUCGGAUUGUAGGCUGCAACUCGCCUACAUGAAGUCGGAAUCGCUAGUAAUCGCGGAUCAGCAUGCCGCGGUGAAUACGUUCCCGGGCCUUGUACACACCGCCCGUCACACCAUGAGAGUUUGUAACACCCAAAGUCGGUGGGGUAACCUUUUAGGACCAGCCCGCCUUUUUGUGUUCCCCU